rnacentral:rRNA from 1 species
GAGUUUGAUCCUGGCUCAGAUUGAACGCUGGCGGCAGGCCUAACACAUGCAAGUCGAGCGGAUGAAGGGAGCUUGCUCCUGGAUUCAGCGGCGGACGGGUGAGUAAUGCCUAGGAAUCUGCCUGGUAGUGGGGAUAACGUCCGGAAACGGGCGCUAAUACCGCAUACGUCCUGAGGGAGAAAGUGGGGGAUCUUCGGACCUCACGCUAUCAGACGAGCCUAGGUCGGAUUAGCUAGUUGGUGGGGUAAAGGCCUACCAAGGCGACGAUCCGUAACUGGUCUGAGAGGAUGAUCAGUCACACUGGAACUGAGACACGGUCCAGACUCCUACGGGAGGCAGCAGUGGGGAAUAUUGGACAAUGGGCGAAAGCCUGAUCCAGCCAUGCCGCGUGUGUGAAGAAGGUCUUCGGAUUGUAAAGCACUUUAAGUUGGGAGGAAGGGCAGUAAGUUAAUACCUUGCUGUUUUGUACGUUACCAACAGAAUAAGCACCGGCUAACUUCGUGCCAGCAGCAGCCG